GGAAGACGUUAGUUGGGGUUGUUUCUCCAGUCAAUAGUGUAAACAGCUUUCAAAAUUCAAUACAAUCCUACCGCCUCCUCUGGACCGGUCUGGGGGCACAACUAGCUCGUGAUGUUCCUUUUUCUGCAAUUUGCUGGUCUACUCUUGAACCAGUUAGGAGGAAGCUACUAGGCAUGGUGGGAGAUGAAGCAAGCGCAACGACUGUCUUUG
rnacentral:misc_RNA from 1 species